GAAAUUGAAGGGGAAAGCUGGGGAGUCAAAGAAUCAAUUGAAAAUUCAAUGGGGGAAGCCCCAGGGAUGGUAGAGAUGACACCUGCGAGUGGAGCAGAUGUGGUCGCAGGGAUGAAGGAGGCGAUGGAGAGGGCCUCGGCAGAGACCGAGGCAUUGAGGAUGAUGGUGGGGGAGCUGUGUGAGAGAAGCGCGCAGCAGUGCGAACUGAUG
rnacentral:misc_RNA from 1 species